rnacentral:lncRNA from 1 species
UAUGGCAGAUACAUGUUUUUAUUAAUUUAUGAAUUAUAAGAUAUGAAGUGCAAUUUUUAAAAAUAUAUAAAGUAAAAUAAAAACAUGAUUAAACUAUAAGAGAUUUUUACAAUUAUUUCUAAAAAUUAACUUGGAAUGCCACCCGCCUCAUAGCAUGGAUAGUGUUUAUUAGAUUCUGAACCUGCAAUAAUCUUGACCACAGUUAUCCUGAGCAAUAUGUUGAGGCAAUUUCUACCGUGCCCUUUUAGCUCUUUAUUAAAGGGGAGAUAUAUUUCCAACAUUGUGAUAAAUUCACAUCUCUAUAAGAGGGAUUGCGGCAUCUGACGGCACUUGAGGAUUAAUUUGCACCUUAAUGAAUGUCCAGAGCUGAAUUCAUUGCCAGAGAAUAUCCAACAUCUCACUUCUCUCCGAUUUCUAUGUAUAUGGGACUGCGAGGGAUUAGCUUCUUUGCCAAAUCAGAUUGGUAUCUCACGUCCCUUUCACACUUGGAGAUUGGGUAUUGCCCUAAUUUGGAGUCUUUGCCAGAUGGGGUGCAGAGCCUCAGCAACCUCAGCUGGUUGACAGUCUGAAAUUGUUCAAAAUUGAAGAAGAGGUGUAAGAAAAAGGGACGAGAGGACUGGCCCAAGAUAGCUCACAUCCCUCGCUUUGAAAUAUUCUAAAACUGAAAGGUACGCUCUCUCUUUCAAUUCAAUAUAUAUAUAUAUAUAUAUAUAUAUAUAUAUAUAUAUAUAUAUAUAUAUAUAUAUAUAUAUAUAUUAGAGAUACAUAUAUAGUAUAGGCAUGGAAGCCCCAUUCAUUUGACAAAUAAUUGCCACUAUAUAUAAAUGUUGAGAGAUUUACUAACCAACAAGCAAAUUCAAGUUGAUAAAUGUUGUCUUCAAAUCUUGAGUGUUUGGUAA